CCCGGAGGCGGAAUCGGCCGGCGCGCCCCCGCGCCCCGCUGCUCGCGCUGCUGGCCGCGCUGCUGGCCGCGCCCCGGGCCCUGGCAGAGGCCCCGCACCUAGUGCUCGUGGACGCGGCCCGCACGCUGCGGCCCCUGCGGCCCUUCUGGAGGAGCACCGGCUUCUGCCCCCCACUGCCUCACAGCCAGGCUGACCGGUAUGACCUCAGCUGGGACCACCAUCUCAACCUGGCCUACGUGGGUGCUGUCCCUCAUGGUGGCAUUGAACAGGUCCGGACCCACUGGCUGCUGGAGCUCAUCACAGCCAGAGGGUCAGCUGGGCAAGGCCUGAGCUACAACCUCACCCAUCUGGAUGGGUACCUGGAUCUUCUCAGGGAGAACCAGCUCGUCCCAGGCUUUGAGCUGAUGGGCAGCCCUUCCAAACGCUUCACCAACUUUGAAGACAAGCAGCAGGUGUUUGAGUGGAAGGAGCUGGUCUCCCUCUUGGCCAGGAGAUACAUUGGUAGGUAUGGACUCUCACACGUUUCCAAGUGGAACUUUGAGACGUGGAAUGAGCCAGACCACCACGACUUUGACAAUGUGUCCAUGACCAUGCAAGGCUUCCUGAAUUACUACGACGCCUGCUCCGAGGGUCUGCGGGCUGCCAGCCCCGCGCUGCGCCUAGGCGGCCCCGGGGACUCCUUCCACCCCUGGCCACGCUCCCCGCUGUGCUGGGCCCUCCUGGGGCACUGUCACAACGGCACCAACUUCUUCACGGGGGAGCUGGGCGUGCGGCUGGACUACAUCUCCCUCCACAAGAAGGGCGCGGGCAGUUCCAUCUACAUCCUGGAGCAGGAAAAGGCGACCGUGCAGCAGAUACAACGGCUCUUCCCCAAGUUUGCCAACACCCCCAUUUACAACGACGAAGCGGACCCGCUGGUGGGCUGGUCCCUGCCGCAGCCUUGGCGAGCCGACGUGACCUACGCGGCCCUGGUGGUGAAGGUCAUCGCCCAGCACCAGAACCUGCUGGUGGCCAACACCAGCUCCGCGCUGCGGUACGGGCUCCUGAGCAACGACAACGCCUUCCUGAGCUACCACCCGCAUUACUUCACGCAGCGCACGCUCACCGCGCGCUUCCAGGUCAACACGACGCGGCCGCCGCACGUCCAGCUGCUGCGCAAGCCCGUGCUCACGGCCAUGGCGUUGCUGGCCCUGCUGGACGGCGAGCAGCUCCGCGCGGAGGUGUCGCAAGCCGGGACGGUGCUGGACAGCAACCACACGGUGGGCGUCCUAGCCAGCGCCCACAGCCCGGCAGGCCCCCUUGACGCCUGGCGCGCCACGGUGCUGGUCUACGCGAGUGACGACACAAGCGCCCAUGCCAACCGCAGCGUCGCCUUGACCCUGCGCCUGCGCGGGGUGUCCCCAGCGCCGGGGCUCGUCUACGUCACGCUGUACCUGGACAACCAGCUCUGCAGCCCCCAUGGCGAGUGGCAGCGCCUCGGCCGGCCGGUCUUCCCCUCCGCAGAGGAGUUCCGGCGCAUGCGCGCAGCGGAGGAUCCGGUGGCCGUGGCGCCACGCCCCUUCCCUGACAGUGGCCGUCUGACACUUCGCCCGGAGCUCCGGGUGCCCUCGCUCUUGCUCGUGCACGUGUGCGCACGCCCCGAGAAGCCACCAGGCCAGGUGACCCGGCUCCGUGCUCUGCCCUUGACCAGGGGGCAGGUGCUUUUGGUCUGGUCCGAUGAGCAUGUGGGCUCCAAGUGCGUGCCUGUGGACGUAUGAGAUCCAGUUCUCCGCGGAUGGUGGCGUGUAUGCCCCUGUCAGCAGGAAGCCGUCAACCUUUAACCUCUUCGUGUUCAGCCCAGACACUGCCGUCACCUCUGGCUCCUACCGGGUUCGAGCAGUGGACUACUGGACCCGGCCAGGCCCCUUCUCGAAUCCUGUGCGAUACCUGGAGGUCCCUGCACCAUGAGGGCCCCCACUGCCCCGUGGCCGUGAGGCUGUGCUGACCCGUGAACCUGGGCGGCCAGGAGCUGAGAUGGGCUGGACCACCAGCGGCCCAUCGGUCGGCUCUGUUCAUCCUCUCCUGUCAUCUUGCUCAACCCCUUAAAGUGCCUUUCCACUCCUCGGACUUGGGGUUGGCCUUUGUGGACGGGCCAAGGGCAGACGUGGGAUCUGGCUGGAGCAUGGCCUUCUGCUGCCGUGGGGGCCAGGGUGGGGAGCAGGCUGGGCACAGGGAGACAGGUCCAGCUGCCAUGAGGAUGGCUGCCCUGCCUACCUGGGGUCUCUGGCAUCAUUGCUGGGUGCAGUGGGCCCCAUUCCUGUCCCCUGCCCGUUCUGCAGAGCAGGAGGGGGCCCACCUGGAUCAGCUUGGAGCACAGAUGGGAACCCACCUUCUGAGGCCCAGGCAGGCUGACCCCUGCACUCCACCAGUGCUCCGGAGGUAGGGUGGAGCUUCCAGGCUGUCUGGCCCCAACUGUGGCCAGCAGCAAAAAAGGCCCACGGUGUCUGUGUGAGCCGUGCCUGCCUCCACAGCCAUCCUGGUUCCACAUCUGAGCCCAGAAGGAGACAGGUGGCAUGCUGAGAUGAGGAUGAUGGGACUGUUCACAGAGAUGCGACGGUGGGUGGGGAGCUGCAUGGGGAAGUGCAGGACCCCAGGAUCCUCCCCCCACCCCCAGGGCCAACAGAGCAUGCGAGGGAGGACUCACCGGUCAAGACAGACAGGUGUGAGAAGCAGAGAGCUUCAGCCCAGGAGUGCAGCCAGUCUGGGGGGCCCUUUGAGCAGGGGUGGAGGUGUGGAGGUCCUGAUCCCCCUCUACCCACUGCCCUCCAGGGCUGCCUUGGGCUUAGGGCUGGGGGAGGCGAUGCGGGUCUAAAAGGGUCUGAAAGGGCAGAUGGAAGAUGAGGCCCAGUCGACCCCUCUGGCUUCCCAAACCUGCCAGCCUGUCUACGCCAAAAACUCGAGGACCGCCAGGUCUCACCAGCUGCCUUACCACGGGUGGGGGAAGUCUGCGCGAUGACGCUUCCGUCUGAACCCCACAGUCAGCCCCUGUUCCUUUGCUUGCUUUCCCGUGUGGGUACCUUAGGGCUCAGUGCCAGGGGGCCCAGCCCUUGCGUCUGUGGGGCACUGUAACCUGCUGGCUGCUGUUAGUGUACAGGGGGCAGAGGGGCUCCCGGCGUGGUGCUGCUGCCCGACGAAGCCCUGUCUCCGCCGGCUCAGGCCUCAUGACGAGGUGCAACCACCCGCUGGCCUCAAGGCUCCAACUACAGAAGUCCCGGAGGCGGGAAGUCUGAGACCAAGGUGCGGGCAGGGCUGGUUCCUUCCGAGGCCUCUCUCCUGGGCUCGCAGACAGUGGCCUCCUCCCUGCCUUCUGUCCUACUGCCGUCUCCCAAGGACGCCAGUCCCGUGGGAGUAGCACCCACUCUCGUGACGGCACUUUCAUCACCUCCUCGAAGGUCCUGUCUCCAAAUACAAUUCUGUUUGGAGGCACUGGGGGUUAGAAUGUCAGCGUAAGAAUUCGUGGGGGAGUGAGUUCAGCUCCUAAUAAGCACCGACUCCAUUUCUCCAUGGUGCUUGGGAUCCAUCAACCCAGUAGGAAAGCGGCCUCUUCUCUACCUGGUGGGUCCGUGGCCUUAGGACCCCUGAUGGUUGAGGGGCCAUCUCCGCUUCCAGCUUACGGGAGGGGGACUGGGUUCCUUGGUGGACUCGGUCCUUCCUUGGGUGCCAAGACCUUCAGAGCCGCUGAGCAGAUUCCUCAGGCAGGGGGACUACUCCCCUCUCCCCAGCUCUGUGUGUUCUGGCUCCUGGCAAAGCAGCAGCACACGCGCGGUUUGCACGUCGGCUGGGAGUUCCCAGCGUGAGCUUGCUGCCGUUGUGCCGGUGGUAGGUUGGGUGCCCCCUUGGAGGGGACCGUGGCUCCAGGGCAGUCAGUGGGCAUUCAGCAGGACAGCAGACGCACAUCUGUGCUGUGCCUCUCAGCCCCCAGGGGUAAGUCACCGUCUCCGCCGUGCUUAUAACGUCCACGUCAUCAGCCUGUCACCAGAUUGCUGAUGCAUCCCCGCUCUCUGACCAGGCUGACUGGUCAGCUUUGGUCUUUGAUGGUGUGGGGUCGGGCUUUCUGAGAGUUGGGGUGUCCAUGUGAUUGGCCGACACACAGGCUCUGCCCCUGCUGCAGGCCUCUUUGUACCUGGGCUCGUGGAGUUGCCACUGGGAUGGCAGACAGGCCCGUGACGAGUCUCAGAUGCAGGGGACACCCCACGGAUCCACGGAGGUGUUUGGGUGGGAUAGCACUCUCAGUCUGUGCUGCUCCCCAGACCUUGUCCUCAAGCUUCCUGUCUUGGUCUUUAUGAGUCUGGCCAGCUGGUCACCCUCUGGUAUGCUCCCUUUUGUACAGCCACUCUGGGCUAGAUGUCCCCUUGGCUUGGUCCCCUGAGAGACACUGGUGUAUGUAUACGUUUGCCCAUAAACAGUGUCUCCCAGCAGCCAGCACCCUUGUAAAGCCCUAGGUCGGUGGAGGGAGAGAGGGAGCUGGACCCUCUUGUUCAUACAGCUCACCUGCGAAUGUGCUUGGGCCCCGCCUCCAGUGUUCUCACCUCAGGAGGGAACACCGCACGUACUCGGUUCUCGCUGGGCACUUGGGUCAGUCAGGUUAGACCUUACCAAGACCUCAGCAGCGAGCGCAGAGCUGUUGUCAAGUGGAUAAUGGAUGUUGACUGAGGAGGAAGCGGCCCUGCUCGGGGAUGCUAGGAGUCUGGCCCAGAGCUGUUUCUCUUUUUGGCACCUGCCAGAGGCCUGUCAGCCACAGAUGUGUCAGGCACCGUGGGCCUGACGGGCUGUCCUCCCAAGUGGCAAGAUGGCCUGUGGCAUGCCUGGACGUGCCAGGGGGCUUUUUCUUGCAACAGUGCAUGACACCCGGGAAGUUGGUUAGAGAAGCAUGCACAGAUGUGGUGCGGGCUGCACCCCAAAUUAGUGCCUCCUGGAACUGGGUGCUGUAAGGUACGCUGACUUACCUUACUUCGUGGGACAUCCCAGCAUUUCCCUUCCGGGCCCUGGAAGCCCCCGGCCGUCAACGGGGCUUAUCUUCCACCCUGUGGUCAGCCCGGGUUUGCUUAAGGCAUCCGGGGUGCCCGUUAACCCCACACACCCGGUCCGAUCAGCAUAAUGUCCUCAAACAAACCAAGAUCCCCCAGGAUCCUACUAAGCCUGGGAGAGGGGGUACCAUCGGGGCAAACCGUGGAAGCACGCUGACGGCCCCACCGUGUGAAAGUCCCCACCGUGUGAGGGCAAGCUGCUGCUGAUUCUCCUCCUCGGUGAGGCUAGAAAGGAAGCAUUUCCUGGCUUAGCGGUGUAUCAAGAGACACACUGUGUGCUUCUCUGCAGGAAACAUAAUCUCAGCUAUGGCUGCCGUGGCCAUGGGGUGCACUCGUCCCCUGUCCUUCUAACAGCAUCUGACAGAGUUCUGUGGGAACACAGAAGGACCCCUCCUCCCCCUGCAGCUUCCAGGUGUCCUACUGGAACGAAUCUCUGCAGUUUCCGGAAACGUGGUGGGUUUGGCUUGCAGGGAGGGGUGGGCCUGGGGGCUUCUGUGCUGGCCCUCCCUGCGCAGGUGAGGGAACCAACGUGGGAUGAGGCCACCCCUCUCCCUACAUUUGGGGGACUGAAGAAACCCCAGCAGGAAGGGUCUUGGCUCAAGGCUCUGGCCAGGGCCCAUGUACUGUCAGACGUCCCCAGGCCCCCGUCGGUGUCUGUGAUGGUUUUCAGGCAUUCUCAUCGGUUCAAGGCCAUUAUCCAGUAACCUCUAGGAGGUCCGAGGGCACUCACCUGAAAAUGGCCACAGGGCCCCUUACAUACCUGGGGACACGUAACAGUAACUGGAUUCUGAGUUCUUUUUUUUCAGGGGACCCCACCUCCCCCCUCCAUCAAGGGCUCUGGGUCCAUGACCCGGCUUAGAUGUGGGGCCUGGACACAAGGCCCUGAAGCCUCGUGGUGACAGGUUAUGUCUGAAAACUGCCCACCAGACCACCAUCACCUCUUGUUUGCAGAAGACCCCUGAAGUUCAGAAACACCCAUGUGUGCGAAACCGGGGUCUUCUCAAAACUUCAGUCUGACUCACUAGCCUGCCUGGGGUGGGGGCCAGGACGGCAUUUCCAGGACCUCCGGGCGCUGCUGGUCCCAGGAGCGUGCACGAGAGCAGCAGGUCAGAGUCGGGCCCUUCCAGGGGCUCAGGCUGGCCCAGCGCACUGGCUGCAUGUCCCACACUUGUGCGGGGACGAGACCCACUCCGCGAGGCUUCCAGGCUCCCUCUUCCUAACCUCCCUUUGGUUCUGGAGGCAGAGGGAUGAUCCAGGCACAGAUGUGGUCACACGGGGGCGUGAUGGCCUCACUAGAGGACUCAGCAGCCUUGGUCUCCUGUCCAUCUGUCCCGAGUCCUUCUCAGGUGUUGGGUGUCCCUCUCCUUGAAAAUCGCAUUCCUCAGCAAAUGAAGGCUUCUGCUGGUCCAGCCUUGUGUCGGACUGCAGCACGUAGAACGAGGUUGUGUGCCCACCCUGUGGCCAGAGAGGCCCCGGCCCCACAUGCCCUCAGCUCACUUUCCUUUCUUCCCUUUCAAGGGAGAGGGAGAGGUGCCCAGACUUCACACACACUGCUGUUGCUAUAGCAACCAGCCCCUUGCCACCACCUGCACUCCGCCCGGUGCCGCCGCCCACCCCCCGGGGAAUUUGAGUACCCAUGACGCCAUUUCCCAUCUGCAGGGUCAGCCCCGAGCUCCUCAGAUCUGAGUCACCUAAUGCCAGGAGCCCAUGUGGAAGGUCUGUGUUGUGGGGCCACCGCAAGUGCUGAUGGCCCCAUGGGUCAGGGCCCCGGCAGGGAGGACACACACACUCCAGCUCAUCUUUAAUGCAGGAACUGGUUGUACGGGUGUGUCAGGGAGCAGAGAGCCCAAGGGAGGUUCCUGCAGGGGCCAGGGCAGCUGGCAUGGGCGUUACCCUUCCCAGGUGUGAGGGAGGAAGAGGGUUGCCCCACAGACCUCUGAACUUGCCCUUGGACUCCUUCCAGAUUGUGCAUAGACCAAACCCAAGUGGAAGCCAAAGGCAGAGAAGCCAGGUGCCACCAAACACCUGGGCAUGACCUGGACUCCAGCACGGGGAGGGAAAGUGGGGGGUAGAGAAGGAGGGAAAGGAGUCGGGCCCUUUGCAGGCCCCAGGAUGGGUGGAGGGACUGCAGAAGAGGGACUGCACCUGAGCCUGGUGCCCUUGCCCACAGCCCAGAGGGGGCACCGGGUCCGCUUGGGCAGGGGGAUAUGAAUGGAGUUCAGCCCCUGGCAUGAUGGAACGUCAUGAAUGCAGACCUUUCUGAGACCAAGAGAGGCCCUGGGUGCAGCUGCCAGAGGUCAUGCAUGGGUCCUCUCCCACCCAACACCUCAACAUUACCAUGGAGGACAGCACCGCCUGCCCUGCCCACUGGGGUGCAGCCCAAGCACCCUGAGACCAGGCCAGAAAUCUCCCCUGCACUCUCCUGCUCAAGGGUCUCCACUGGGUUGGCAGAGGAGAGGAGUUGCCUGUAGGGUGCUCCAAGUGGCCCCUCCCUGCCCAGGGGAGUAGGGCUGCAGACACCCCUAAUUAGCAGCAGGAGGUGGCCAAAGCCCCAUUGUCUGCCCUCCACACCUGCUAGAACCUGUCCUCCUGGGGCCCUGGGCCAGCUUGUAGAAUGGCCACCCCUCCAGGUGAGGUCAGGUGUAGCAGACGCCCUGUGGGAGGGGGCUGUGAAUGCCAGCACCAUCCCCUGGUCCUGCCCCCCCCAGACAACUGCCUUUGGGGAGAGCUACAGAGAAACCUGACAGGGAACCCCCAGGGCCAAUGACAGCGGUGAGCUGGGCUUCUUCAUCAGGUAGGCUCGUCCUCCCAUCAGUCCUGGUCAGGAUGGCUCACCUGCUCUGGCCCUGGGCAGGGAUCCCCUCAGGGAUUCAGGGGUGUGCAUAUGCAGGCAGGGGCCUGAGGCUCAAUCUCAGAGUGCUGGUCAGCCCCAGGAGUUCUUGCCCCCCGGCCGUGAGAGCCGGCCAUGAAGCAGGACACCGGGUGAGCUCCUGUGGGGACAGCCGACCCUAGGAAGGGGUCAAGGCUCAGAGAAACAGGCUGCUCUCCUGAGCUCACCUCUCAGGGGAGUGCACAUGGGGCUACCCACCCUAGAGUGUCUAUGGCUGCGAGGCACAGGUGGCACCCCAAGUUUCCCUCAAAGAGGAAGGAGUAAGUGGGUCCAGGUCCCUCCAAACCGUGGUUCCAGAGCAGAUCCAGGAAUGAGGUCCGCUCUGUGCUCUGCUAAGGGAAAGCUCCAGUGAGGGUCUAAGUUGAACUAAUAGGUCACAGGAGGGGAGGUGACACCAAAAAUGUGGUUUGUGCAUGAAAAAAUCAAAACCGAUUUACAUCCCCAGCUCAGGUGUUCAUGCACUCAGCCAGCGAACACUGAUGGAGCGUCUGUGUGCUGGGGCACCUGUCGCCUCAGCAGCCCCCCGAACCCCCCACGAAGGCUCCUCCUCUGUCUCUCUAGCCCCCCAACCUGGUUUGUCUUUUAAAAAAAUAAUACUUUAUUGAGUGCGAUAACCUGCACUAUUUAAAGUGUACAAUUUGACAAGUUUGGACACGUUUACGUCCGUGAGCACAAUCUAAGUAGUGCACAUCAGUGAGCCCCAGAAGUCGCCCCAGCUCCCCUGCUCUGGACCCCACCCUGCCCCAGGCAGCCCCAGAUCGGCCUUCUGUCGCCACAGCUCCCCUGGCUUUUCUAGAACGUCACACAGAUGCCAUCGCAUGGUGCGCACUCUCUCCUUCCCAUGUUUGUCUCACUUAGCGUAACUAUUUUGAGAUUCGCCCGUGUUGCUGCGAGUGUGUUUUUUGCUAACCUGUUGUAUGCGUGUGAGUCAGUCGGGUGGCCCGCUCGCUUGUCAGCCAUUUGGGCAGUUUCCAGUUUGGGGCUAUUUCAAAUAAAGCUGCCGUGAACAUUCGAGCACAAG